GACGAACGCUGGCGGCGUGCUUAACACAUGCAAGUCGAACGGAAAGGCCCUGCUUUUGUGGGGUGCCCGAGUGGCGAACGGGUGAGUAACACGUGAGUAACCUGCCCUUGACUUUGGGAUAACUUCAGGAAACUGGGGCUAAUACAGGAUAGGAGCUCAUGCUGCAUGGUGGGGGGUGGAAAGUUUCGGCGGUUGGGGAUGGACUCGCGGCUUAUCGGCUUGUUGGUGGGGUAGUGGCUUACCAAGGCUUUGACGGGUAGCCGGCCUGAGAGGGUGAACGGCCACAUUGGGACUACGGUACGGCCCAGACUCCUACGGGAGGCAGCAGUGGGGAAUAUUGCACAAUGGGCGGAAGCCUGAUGCAGCAGCGCCGCGUGCGGGAUGACGGCCUUCGGGUUGAAAACCGCUUUCGCCUGUUACGAAGCGUGAGUGACGGUAAUGGGUAAAGAAGCACCGGCUAACUACGUG
rnacentral:rRNA from 1 species